AGUGAUUCUUUGAAGAAUCAUCAUCAUUGAAUCAAUAUCUUCGCAAUUCAAGGUGCGAAUUCGCCAAAGGCAAACUCCAGCACCGAUCACGAAGAUACAGUGAGGAAGACGAAGAAGAAAGAAAGACAGUGAAAGUUUAAACCGGCGAAGAAGACGAUAAAGCAAGAAAUCAGCAAGAACACCGGUUUAUUUCCGGAUUCAAAGCCAAAUCACAUAGCAUCAGAG
rnacentral:lncRNA from 1 species